rnacentral:rRNA from 1 species
GACGAACGCUGGCGGCGUGCUUAACACAUGCAAGUCGAACGGAAAGGCCUGCUUUCCCUUGUGGAUUGCGGGUACUCGCGUGGCGAACGGGUGAGUAACACGUGAGUGAUCUGCCCCCAACUUGGGUAUAAGCCUGGGAAACUGGGUCUAAUUCCCGACAGGACUGCAGGGUGGUGCCUGUGGUGGAAAACGAUUUUCUAGUGGUUGGGGAUGAGCUCGCGGCCUAUCAGCUUGUUGGUGGGGUAAUGGCCUACCAAGGCGGCGACGGGUAGCCGGCCUGAGAGGGUGGACGGCCACAGUGGGACUGAGAUACGGCCCAGACGCCUACGGGAGGCAGCAGUGGGGAAUAUGGCACAAUGGGCGGAAGCCUGAUGCAGCGACGCCGCGUGGGGGAUGACGGGCUUCGGGUUGUAAACUCCUGGCGACCGCGAGGAAGCCACCUGGAUGGAAGGGUGGUGACGGUAGUGGUAGAAGAAGCACCGGCUAACUACGUG